rnacentral:rRNA from 1 species
GAUGAACGCUGGCGGCGUGCCUAACACAUGCAAGUCGAGCGGCAGCGAGGGGUGCUUGCACCCUGUCGGCGAGCGGCGGACGGCUGAGUAACGCGUGGGAACGUGCCCCAAAGUGAGGAAUAACUGCCCGAAAGGGUAGCUAAUACCGCAUAUUAUCUUCGGAUCAAAGGAUUUAUCCGCUUUGGGAGCGGCUCGCGUCGGAUUAGGUAGUUGGUGAGGUAAUGGCUCACCAAGCCGACGAUCCGUAGCUGGUCGGAGAGGAUGACCAGCCAGACUGGAACUGCGACACGGUCCAGACUCCUACGGGAGGCAGCAGUGAGGAAUCUUCCACGAUGGGCGAAAGCCUGAUGGAGCAACGCCGCGUGCAGGACGAAGGCCUUCGGGUUGUAAACUGCUUUUAUAAGUGAGGAAUAUGACGGUAACUUAUGAAUAAGGAUCGGCUAACUACGUG